rnacentral:rRNA from 1 species
AUGGGGGACGGUGGUGGUGGUGAUGGCGCCGCCGCCUCCUCGUCGCCGCCGGCCGCCGCGGCCGCCCCGGGCUUCUCCUACCUCGCCGUCUUCCACAACUUCCCCCUCGUCGCCGCGCUGCUCGGCUUCGCCAUCGCGCAGUCCAUCAAGUUCUUCCUCACCAGGUAUAAGGAGAAAAGAUGGGAUCCUAAGCGGCUUAUCGGCUCCGGUGGCAUGCCGUCGUCGCAUUCCGCGACCGUUACAGCAUUAUCGGUAGCCAUUGGCUUCCAAGAGGGCUUCGGCAGUGCCCUCUUUGCCACAUCAACGAUAUUCGCAAGUGUGGUGAUGUACGAUGCUUCUGGUGUCAGAUUGCAUGCUGGAAAGCAAGCAGCGGUGUUGAACCAAAUAGUCUGUGAACUACCGGCUGAACAUCCCUUGGCUGAAACAAGACCAUUGCGUGAACUUUUAGGCCAUACCCCGACCCAGGUUGUCGCCGGUGCGGUGCUUGGGUGUAUGAUAGGUAUUGCAGGGCAGAUUAUCAUUGCAGUGACAAGUGUUGUAUGA